GCCCAAGUGGCGGAAUUGGUAGACGCGCACGUUUCAGGUGCGUGUGCCUCACGGCGUGCAGGUUCGAGUCCUGUUUUGGGCA
rnacentral:tRNA from 1 species